GACGAACGCUGGCGGCGUGCUUAACACAUGCAAGUCGAACGGAAAGGCCCUGCUUUUGUGGGGUGCUCGAGUGGCGAACGGGUGAGUAACACGUGAGUAACCUGCCCUUGACUUUGGGAUAACUUCAGGAAACUGGGGCUAAUACCGGAUAGGAGCUCCUGCUGCAUGGUGGGGGUUGGAAAGUUUCGGCGGUUGGGGAUGGACUCGCGGCUUAUCAGCUUGGUGGUGGGGUAGUGGCUUACCAAGGCUUUGACGGGUAGCCGGCCUGAGAGGGUGACCGGCCACAUGGGGACUGAGAUACGGCCCAGACUCCUACGGGAGGCAGCAGUGGGGAAUAUUGAACAAUGGGCGGAAGCCUGACGCAGCAACGCCGCGUGCGGGAUGACGGCCUUCGGGUUGUAAACCGCUUUCGCCUGUGACGAAGCGUGAGUGACGGUAAUGGGUAAAGAAGCACCGGCUAACUACGUG
rnacentral:rRNA from 1 species